rnacentral:rRNA from 1 species
AGAGUUUGAUCCUGGCUCAGGAUGAACGCUAGCGGCAGGCUUAAUACAUGCAAGUCGUGGGGCAGCAGGGUGUAGCAAUACAUCGCUGGCGACCGGCAAACGGGUGCGGAACACGUACACAACCUUCCUUUAAGUGGGGAAUAGCCCAGGGAAACUUGGAUUAAUACCCCGUAACAUGUCGAGGAGGCAUCUCUUUGACAUUAUAGCUACGGCGCUUGAAGAUGGGUGUGCGGCUGAUUAGGUAGUUGGCGGGGUAACGGCCCACCAAGCCUACGAUCAGUAACUGGUGUGAGAGCACGACCAGUCACACGGGCACUGAGACACGGGCCCGACUCCUACGGGAGGCAGCAGUAAGGAAUAUUGGUCAAUGGACGCAAGUCUGAACCAGCCAUGCCGCGUGGAGGAUGAAGGUCCUCUGGAUUGUAAACUUCUUUUAUCUGGGACGAAAAAAGGGAAUUCUUUCUCACUUGACGGUACCAGAUGAAUAAGCACCGGCUAACUCCGUGCCAGCAGCCGCGGUAAUACGGAGGGUGCAAGCGUUAUCCGGAUUCACUGGGUUU